rnacentral:lncRNA from 1 species
AGGGGCCGCCGCCGUGGCCCUUGCGAUCUCGCCAGCCACCACGGGAGACCCGCAUCCAUGCCACACCAUGCAGGGCGUGUGCUGGAGAUGCUGCGGGCUGGACAUGCCUAAGGCCAUAGACGUGGUGCAUCACCUCGCAUGCUCUCGCUGGACUAUGUGGACCACGAGAUCCACCACGUCCACAAGGAGCACAUGGCAACGACCAUGUUGACGACACCAGGAUCCACGUCGAUCUGGAUUGUGGAUCUGAUCAGGGAAGCCGCCAUUAAGCGCGCUAGGCGAGAAGAACGCAUAGCUAAUAUUGCAUGCCAAGCGAUGAAAGCAGCAAGAUUGCACGAGAAGAAUGAGGUGCUGAUGGAGCUCGUGGCAGUGGUGGAUCUUGACGGUGCGGCACUGCUGAAUCUAGGCUGGCUUACGCUGUUCCUUGCACACCAGGAGCAGUACGUGAAGAUGGAGCGCGCCAGAACAACAAGAUAGAAGAUGGCUGAACUGGAGAUGAGCAACUACACGCUCGAUGGCAUAUCAUGCCCAGGGCCCUCGGUGAGCUUCUGCUCCAGUCCAAUUCCUGCACUUGUUGGUCUCUUUUUGAAGCCCCGACAAAUAUGAUGAUUUGGUUUUUUAGAAUUCUUAUAUAUGUCCUAUAAAAAGUUUGCUUUAUU